UACGGGGGGGGUAAGCGUUGUUCGGAAUUACUGGGCGUAAAGGGCUCGUAGGCGGCCAACUAAGUCAGACGUGAAAUCCCUCAGCUUAACUGGGGAACUGCGUCUGAUACUGGAUGGCUUGGAUUUGGGAGAGGAAUGCGGAAUUCCAGGUGUAGCGGUGAAAUGCGUAGAUAUCUGGAGGAACACCGGUGGCGAAGGCGGCAUCCUGGACCAACACUGACACUGAGGAGCGAAAGCCAGGGGAGCAAACGGG
rnacentral:rRNA from 1 species